GCGUUGGUGGUUUAGUGGUAAAAUUGGCCGUUGCCAUGCAAAUAUAUUCAGAUAUUAGCUGCAAUUGUUUCGGCCAGCCCCGGGUUCGAUUCCCGGCCGACGCA
rnacentral:tRNA from 1 species